rnacentral:tRNA from 3 species
GCGAACAUGCUGAAAUUGGUAGCCAGUCUUUUCUUAAGCAAAAGUGGAUAUAAUCCGUAAGAGUUCGAGUCUCUUUGUUCGUA